rnacentral:rRNA from 1 species
AAUUUUUUGAAUAUUUAUAUAACAUUAACAUAAUUCAUAUUACUAUAUUUUUUAGUAUAUGAAAUUUUACUUUGAGAAAAUUAGAGUGCUUAAAGCAGGCAUAUGCCUUGAAUACUCCAGCAUGGAAUAAUAUUAAAGAUUUUUAUCUUUCUUAUUGGUUCUAAGAUAAGAAUAAUGAUUAAUAGGGACAGUUGGGGGCAUUUGUAUUUAACAGUCAGAGGUGAAAUUCUUAGAUUUGUUAAAGACAAACUAAUGCGAAAGCAUUUGCCAAGGAUGUUUUCAUUAAUCAAGAACGAAAGUUAGGGGAUCGA